CCUGUGAGGGUUGCUGGAGGUAUCAGAAGUGCGAAUGCUGACAUAAGUAACGAUAAUGCGGGUGAAAAACCCGCACGCCGGAAGACCAAGGGUUCCUGUCCAACGUUAAUCGGGGCAGGGUGAGUCGACCCCUAAGGCGAGGCCGAAAGGCGUAGUCGAUGGGAAACAGGUUAAUAUUCCUGUACUUGGUGUUACUGCGAAGGGGGGACGGAGAAGGCUAGGCUAGCCGGGCGACGGUUGUCCCGGUUUAAGCAUGUAGGCGGAGCGACUUGGUAAAUCCGGUUGCUUAUCAACGCUGAGGUGUGAUGACGAGCCACUACGGUGGUGAAGUAGUUGAUGCCAAGCUUCCAGGAAAAGCCUCUAAGCAUCAGGUAACAUUAAAUCGUACCCCAAACCGACACAGGUGGUCAGGUAGAGAAUACUCAGGCGCUUGAGAGAACUCGGGUGAAGGAACUAGGCAAAAUGGUGCCGUAACUUCGGGAGAAGGCACGCUGGCGUUAGGUAAUGGGACUUGCUCCCGGCGCCGAAGCCAGUCGCAGAUACCAGCUGGCUGCAACUGUUUAAUAAAAACACAGCACUGUGCAAACACGAAAGUGGACGUAUACGGUGUGACGCCUGCCCGGUGCUGGAAGGUUAAUUGAUGGGGUCAGCCGCAAGGCGAAGCUCUUGAUCGAAGCCCCAGUAAACGGCGGCCGUAACUAUAACGGUCCUAAGGUAGCGAAAUUCCUUGUCGGGUAAGUUCCGACCUGCACGAAUGGCGUAAUGAUGGCCAGGCUGUCUCCACCCGAGACUCAGUGAAAUUGAACUCGCUGUGAAGAUGCAGUGUACCCGCGGCAAGACGGAAAGACCCCGUGAACCUUUACUAUAGCUUGACACUGAACAUUGAGCCUUGAUGUGUAGGAUAGGUGGGAGGCAUCGAAGUGUGGACGCCAGUCUGCAUGGAGCCAACCUUGAAAUACCACCCUUUAAUGUUUGAUGUUCUAACUCGGCCCCGUAAUCCGGGGUGAGGACAGUGUCUGGUGGGUAGUUUGACUGGGGCGGUCUCCUCCCAAAGAGUAACGGAGGAGCACGAAGGUUAGCUAAUCACGGUCGGACAUCGUGAGGUUAGUGCAAAGGCAUAAGCUAGCUUGACUGCGAGAGUGACGGCUCGAGCAGGUACGAAAGUAGGUCUUAGUGAUCCGGUGGUUCUGAAUGGAAGGGCCAUCGCUCAACGGAUAAAAGGUACUCCGGGGAUAACAGGCUGAUACCGCCCAAGAGUUCAUAUCGACGGCGGUGUUUGGCACCUCGAUGUCGGCUCAUCACAUCCUGGGGCUGAAGUAGGUCCCAAGGGUAUGGCUGUUCGCCAUUUAAAGUGGUACGCGAGCUGGGUUUAGAACGUCGUGAGACAGUUCGGUCCCUAUCUGCCGUGGGCGUUGGAAGAUUGAGAGGGGCUGCUCCUAGUACGAGAGGACCGGAGUGGACGAAUCACUGGUGUUCGGGUUGUCAUGCCAAUGGCAUUGCCCGGUAGCUAAAUUCGGAAGAGAUAACCGCUGAAAGCAUCUAAGCGGGAAACUUGCCUCGAGAUGAGUCUUCCCUGGGGCUUUAAGCCCCCUGAAGGAACGUUAAAGACUAUGACGUUGAUAGGCUGGGUGUGUAAGUGCAGCGAUGCAUUGAGCUAACCAGUACUAAUGAUCCGUGAGGCUUAACCUU
rnacentral:rRNA from 1 species